GAUGCAGCCUGCACCAGGCAGCCUUUAAGUCAGGCAAUGGUAGCGGCAGGUGCCUGAUAAUGGAGCAGAAAGCAGAACUCUGACUCUGCUUUGGCUACAGACAUGGGGGAUGAGCAGAAAAAAUCUUCUACCUGCACCAGGCAACAAAGUCCAUGAAGCUAUAAACACAAAUUGCAGCUGUUCUUUAAGGUGUCUGAUCUAUCCUCUCAAGAAGCCAAUUUAAUUUUUAAUUUCCUCUGAUGAGACUCAGAAGAUGCUGGAUAAAAUAUGAGACAUCUCAGAGAAAUGUGACUUCGGGAUUAUCUCAAAUGCCCUGGAAACACAAGUAGCAAAAAUCUUCCAGACGAAGAAGCCUGCAUGGAAUAUGUUAAUAUAUGGUGCAGAUUGGGCGUACUAGUGAUUAUGUGCUUGUCAGGGAUGCUGUGAAGAAGAGGCUCGUCAAAAACCAGGCAAAGGCUUUGAAACAAUGAGUGUGUGGAGAUUGCACAGCUUGCAGCCAAGGAGCAGCAAUGGGAUGUAGGAGAAAAUGAAGGCUUUAAUUCUGAGUCUUG